CCUGAACCUUAGUGACUGUUACUAGCCAGCUACCACUUAGUACCCUGCCCUGAACCUUAGUGACUGUUACUAGCCAGCUACCACUCAGUACCCUGCCCUGAACCUUAGUCACUGUUACUAGCCAGCUACCACUCAGUACCCUGCCCUGAACCUUAGUCACUGUUACUAGCCACCUCCCCUAGUACCCUGCGCCGAACCUUAGUGACUGUUACUAGCCGGACUCCACCCAGUACCCUGCCCUGAACCUUAGUGACUGUUACUAGCCAGCUACCACUGAGUACCCUGCCCUGAACCUUAGUCACUGUUACUAGCCAGCUACCACUCAGUACCCUGUACCUUAGCCACUGUUACUAGCCAGCUACCACUCAGUACCCUGCCCCGAACCUUAGUGACUGUUACUAGCCAGCUACCACUCAGUACCCUGGCCUGAACCUUAAUGACUGUUACUAGCCGGACUCCACACAGUACCUUGCCCUGAACCUUAGUGACUGUUACUAGCCAGCUACCAAUCGGUACCCUGCCCUGAACCUUAGUGACUGUUACUAGCCGGCCUCCACCCAGUACCCUGCCCUGAACCUUAGUGACUGUUACUAGCCAGCUACCACUUAGUACCCUGCCCUGAACCUUAGUGACUGUUACUAGCCAGCUACCAAGCAGUACCCUGCCCUGAACCUUAGUGACUGUUACUAGCCUCCCCCAGUACCCUGCCCUGAAACUUAGUGACUGUUACUAGCCUCCCC
ensembl:lncRNA